CGACACAUGAAAUUGCACAUACGCUCAGUGCCGAUCACGAUGGUGUUGGCAACUCAGCGAACUGCGCUGCCAACGACGGUUACAUUAUGACUCCUAUCGAUUCAGGAAAAAAGCGUGACGAUUUCUCAGUGUGUACGAAAAAUGCAAUCGCCACUCACUUGAGAAAGCGCCAAUCUGCGUGCCUGACACGUCUAACAUCAAGACAUAUUUCGCCGAUUCUGCCAAAGGCACGCUCCGUGGAAGAAAAAUGAUCUGCAACCUCAAUGCUGUUUUAAAGGACAACACACAUGAAUGGUUGACCGGCAAAAAAGUUCCAGAAUGAAGGGCGUCGUACCUGGUUUCGAGGCGAAUUAAGACCUCAAUUUAACUUUCUUACUGCACAUAGCACACACCUAAUGAAGCACGAUGACUGCCUGUAUCAAGCAG